rnacentral:rRNA from 1 species
CGGUUAAGUCCGCUAACGAGCGCAACCCUCGCUGUAUGUUACAUGUGUCAUACGGGACCGCCGGUAUCAAGCCGGAGGAAGGUGGGGAUGACGUCAAGUCCGCAUGGCCUUUAUGUCCGGGGCUACACACACGCUACAAUGGUCGGUACAAUGGGUUGCUAAGCCGCGAGGUGGAGCCAAUCCCCCAAAGCCGGCCUCAGUUCAGAUUGCAGGCUGCAACUCGCCUGCAUGAAGCUGGAGUUGCUAGUAAACGCGCGUCAGCUAUAGUGCGUUGAAUACGUUCUCGGGCCUU